rnacentral:rRNA from 1 species
GACGAACGCUGGCGGCGUGCUUAACACAUGCAAGUCGAACGGUGAUGGGGAGCUUGCUCCUCUGAUCAGUGGCGAACGGGUGAGUAACACGUGAGUAACCUGCCCUUCACUCUGGGAUAACUCCGGGAAACCGGUGCUAAUACUGGAUACGACCUGAACAGGCAUCUGUAUCGGGUGGAAAGAUUUAUUGGUGGAGGAUGGACUCGCGGCCUAUCAGCUUGUUGGUGAGGUAAUGGCUCACCAAGGCGAC